rnacentral:lncRNA from 1 species
ACUGCUUGCAUUGGCCAACAGCGAGAUGCAUGAUUGAUCUGAUUAUGAUGUUUUUUUUUCAAUAAAAUGAUUUUGUAAAUGUAUAACAAUUUGAUCCAUUAAUUAAUAAUUUGUCUGUGUGUUCAUUUACAAUUUAUUUAAAAGGAACGCUUGUUAAACCUUUGCAUUGGAGAACAAUAGUGUCAUCUAUAGUGAUUUUUCAUUGGAAAAGGAAGAGUACAUUGAAUUAAAAUAAAUUUAUUUAAGUUUGUGCUUACAUACUAUAUAUUAACGUUUAAUAUAAAAUAUGAAUAGUAUUAAUAAUAACCUGCAGUGAAAUAUUUUUUGUUUGUUAAUAAGUCAAUCAAGUGAAUUAUAUGUUCAAAUACGUAAAAAAUGUUUUUCUCACGUUUAUUUAAAAAUUUAAGUAAAGGACAGAGAGAAAAAAUACAUUUUAGAAUAACUCUUCUGUAUGCAGCAAUAUCUUGGAAUGGAUUUGCAGUAGGUCUAUAUAUGUUAAGUAAGUCAGGAAAGGAAAUUCCUGGCGUACCAAGAGGUUUAGAAAAACUAACGUCUUCGCACACUGAUACAGCUCAAGUUAUUCGGCUUAAAGGAUUCAAUAUUGUAGAAAAUACUAUAUAUGAUAAAAAACAAAUAGAUGAAAUUCGUCAUAAUAUUUUAAAUCCUCCUGUAGAAAAAGAAUCACAUGAU